rnacentral:rRNA from 1 species
UACGGGGGGGGCAAGCGUUGUUCGGAAUUACUGGGCGUAAAGGGUUCGUAGGUGGCUCGCUAAGUCAGACGUGAAAUCCCUCAGCUUAACUGGGGAACUGCGUCUGAGACUGGCAAGCUUGAGUGCAGGAGAGGAACGCGGAAUUCCAGGUGUAGCGGUGAAAUGCGUAGAUAUCCGGAGGAACACCGGUGGCGAAGGCGGCUUCCUGGACCGACACUGACGCUGAGGCGCGAAAGCUAGGGGAGCAAACGGG